rnacentral:rRNA from 1 species
GAACGGUCUCUUCGGAGGCAGUGGCAGACGGGUGAGUAACGCGUGGGAACAUACCUUUCGGUACGGAACAACAGUUGGAAACGACUGCUAAUACCGUAUACGCCCUGAGGGGGAAAGAUUUAUCGCCGAGAGAUUGGCCCGCGUUGGAUUAGCUAGUUGGUGGGGUAAUGGCCUACCAAGGCGACGAUCCAUAGCUGGUCUGAGAGGAUGAUCAGCCACACUGGGACUGAGACACGGCCCAGACUCCUACGGGAGGCAGCAGUGGGGAAUAUUGGACAAUGGGCGCAAGCCUGAUCCAGCCAUGCCGCGUGAGUGAUGAAGGCCUUAGGGUUGUAAAGCUCUUUCGCCGGUGAAGAUAAUGACGGUAACCGGUAAAGAAGCCCCGGCUAACUUCGUGCCAGCAGCCGCGGUAAUACGAAGGGGGGCUAGCGUUGUUCGGAAUUACUGGGCGUAAAGCGCACGUAGGCUGACUUUUAAGUCAGGGGUGAAAUCCCGGGGCUCAACCUCGGAACUGCCUUUGAUACUGGAAGUCUUGAGUCCGAGAGAGGUGAGUGGAACUCCGAGUGUAGAGGUGAAAUUCGUAGAUAUUCGGAAGAACACCAGUGGGCGAAGGCGGCUCACUGGCUCGGUACUGACGCUGAGGUGCGAAAGCGUGAGGAGCAAACAGGAUUAGAUACCCUGGUAGUCCACGCCGUAAACGAUGGAAGCUAGCUGUCAGGUAGCAUGCUAUUUGGUG